CCAAUGUGGAUAUCCCAGUAAGUGAUUCUCCCCAAGCUCUGUCCUAGUGGCAUGGGGGAACACAGAGCUCUGCCCUGUGAUGUACAGUCCCUUUCCACAACAUUUGAGAUGAAGCUGGCCUCUCAGAAUCCUGUAGAUAAUGACUGAGGAGAAAAACCAUGCAAGA
rnacentral:snoRNA from 1 species